UCCGCUGUGCAGAAAACAGAGAGAAGAUUGCCCUGUGUGGCACCUGUGAUUCCUCCACGGGCAUCUUUCUUUUUUUUUUUUUUUGAGACAGAGUUUCGCUCUUGUUACCCAGGCUGGAGUGCAAUGGCGCGAUCUCGGCUCACCGCAACCUCCGCCUCCUGAGUUCAGGCAAUUCUCCUGCCUCAGCCUCCCAAGUAGCUGGGAUGACAGACACUCGCCACCAUGCCCAGCUAAUUUUUUGUAUUUUUAGUAGAGACAGGGUUUUACCAUGUUGACCAGGAUGGUCUCCAUCUCUUGACCUCGUGAUCCACCUGCCUCAGCCUCCCAAAGGGCUGGGAUUACAGGCUUGAGCCACCACGCCCGGCUUGCAUCUUUCAAUCAGAAUUGACAUCUCCCACUUCUCAGCCCACUUGAGUCCUUAAAAACCUAGGCAGGUGUAUGUGUCACAAGACAGAUGCACGAGGAUCUGAGGCUCGGAUUGUGUGAGACCACCUGCCCUCUGUGGGAGAAGCACAGACUUUCUCAAGUGUGAACUGAGCAGCAGCAUUGGGUCAUGGACAGACACAGGACCGGGGGUCACAGCCCCUGGUGCUUCUCCUGGUUACUCCCUGACCAGCUGACUGCCUGGCUUCCCUUGGACUCCUCACCCGAAACAUUCAGGUGCUGGGUCUUUUCAAGCUUCAGUCCUACUUUGCACCCCCUAGCGGUGUUUUCUGUGUGGCUUCCUUUUCCAAGAACGUUCUAGUGAUGGGUGAUGAUGGGACUUCUUAUUGUCCUUAAAGCCCGAGGGAAAAACUGUGCAGCCUCCUGGGACUAGUUGUUUCAGCAGAAAUAGCACAGGGGACACCAGGGGCCAGCCUGGAGGUCAGUUCAGUCAUCAGGCAGUGGAACCACAAGUUUUUCCCAGGUAUUUAAUAAUGACUGACUUGAGCCAGUGACCCCUAAAGAUAGAGCAGAAUUCAAAGAAUGAUCUAGAAGAGAGUGAGGGGGACAGGCAGGAGCUGCCUGGAUUUAACAGCAGAGCCGUGUCCCUUGUCUUUGGCCUUUCAUGUUUCUUCUCCUUCUGCAGAGGGCAGGUGAGGAUGCUGUGGAUCUUUCUAGAAAUACAUGUGGACGUUUGCAAAUGCAGAACUGAGUGGUGGAAAGAGGGAGCAUGAACUGCUGGAAAUCUGACUCUCAAAGAUCCUGUGUGUUUGGCAGACCAGAAUCUCCCUCUCUGAGCUGUGGAUGUCCAAGACGAAAGGAAGCAAACCCACGACGGGUCUCGGUCUGCAGAUGCCUAAUAACAAACAGCCCCCCACCCCCGGGGGAGGAGAGGAGCUCUGGCUGCAGACAGACCUCACUUGUCUCUAAUCUGCCACCUAUGGCCUGUGGACCCUUGUUAGUGACUGUCUCCCUGCCCCUCAAUUUCCUUUCAGUAAGUAGGAUAAGUGCUAUUUGGCUGUGAGGUUGUUGGUGAAUUAACCUCAAAAUAUUUAUAAUUACUUGAUCUCAGCUCUGCACAGAGGAGUUGUCCAAGUGAAGAGCAUCUAUGAUUAUUUGCCUUUAAGAGAGAGGGCCCUGGGCCUGAUCCCUGGUGGACAAGGGGCUGCCGGGAGCAUCCUCUCUUCUCUGUUCCUCCUCCUGGGGACUCUGAACUUCCCAGGGAGUCACCUGUGUCCCCCAGGGCAGUGGGCUCACUCCCUAGUAACCUUGUCUGUCUGACCUUUCCACAUUGAGCCUCAAGUGACAGAAGAGGUCCUGUCCUUGACUGGACGAGGCUGUGGGUGCUGGGCCCCGGCUGGUGACCAACUCCAGGAGUCAUUUCCCUUGGACAGUCACUUCCUUGCUCCCAGUCAGCCCUGCCCAGGAGGCCACCACACAGCCCUGACACGGGCUCCCCAGAAUCACCUGGAAUCAGGAACUAGGGACAAGGCUUUGCACAGGGGCUCGGCUCUAGGAAGAGUAGAACUUCUCAGUGAGGAUCCCAGGGGGCCCUCAGGCCAGCCCUGACCCGGUUCUCCAGGGUCUUCUCAGGGUCAGGUCCAUGGGGAGACCAUGGGGUGCUUGGCUGAGACAGACCUCCCCCUGCUGAGUCCCCCAUCAGACUGUCCUUCCUCUGCUGCGAGUGUCUGCAGGAUCUGGAUGCAGGAAGGGGAUUCUGAUCUGUUGAAGUUCAUCUCCCCUGUGUGUGUCCUGCACUAAAUGCCCAAACCCUAACACGGGAUAUAAUGCAGAGGACACAGGGGGACACAGGCACAGCCCAGCCCUGACAAUCCCGUGUGUGGGGAGCACAACUGACCGCAACACCCGGAGGUCAUGGGGAAAUACUCACGGUAUACACGGAACUGGACAGUUGCUUCUUCACUCGUAAGAUCUGCCUUUAUGACUUGCAGGGUGUAGAAUCCUGUGUCAUUCAGGGUGACAUUCUGGAUCAGCAGGGAGGCAUUGGGGUAUAUUGUCUCUCGGCCGCUGUAUGUGGGCCCUGGGGUGGUUAGUUGACUUGCUAUUACAUAUCCUAUAAUU